rnacentral:rRNA from 1 species
UACGUAGGCAGCGAGCGUUGUCCGGAAUCAUUGGGCGUAAAGCGCGCGUAGGCGGGUUUUUAAGUCAGAGGUGAAAUCCUGGAGCUCAACUCCAGAACUGCCUUUGAUACUGAAAGUCUUGAGUAUGGGAGAGGUGAGUGGAACUGCGAGUGUAGAGGUGAAAUUCGUAGAUAUUCGCAAGAACACCAGUGGCGAAGGCGGCUCACUGGCCCAUAACUGACGCUGAGGCACGAAAGCGUGGGGAGCGAACGGG